rnacentral:rRNA from 1 species
GCAGUCGAGCGCGAAAUCUCUUCGGAGAGAGUAGAGCGGCGGACGGGUGAGUAACGCGUAGGAAUCUACCCAGUAGUGGGGGACAACAUGGGGAAACCCAUGCUAAUACCGCAUACGCCCUACGGGGGAAAGCGGGGGAUCUUCGGACCUCGCGCUAUUGGAUGAGCCUGCGUUGGAUUAGCUAGUUGGUGGGGUAAAGGCCUACCAAGGCGACGAUCCAUAGCUGGUCUGAGAGGAUGAUCAGCCACACCGGGACUGAGACACGGCCCGGACUCCUACGGGAGGCAGCAGUGGGGAAUAUUGCGCAAUGGGCGAAAGCCUGACGCAGCCAUGCCGCGUGUGUGAAGAAGGCCUUCGGGUUGUAAAGCACUUUCACUUGGGAAGAAAAGCUUGUCGUUAAUAGCGGCAAGCCGUGACAUUACCAUGAGAAGAAGCACCGGCUAACUCCGUGCCAGCAGCCGCGGUAAUACGGAGGGUGCGAGCGUUAAUCGGAAUUACUGGGCGUAAAGCGCGCGUAGGCGGUUUGUUAAGUCGGAUGUGAAAGCCCCGGGCUCAACCUGGGAACUGCACCCGGUACUGGCCGACUAGAGUACGAGAGAGGGAGGUAGAAUUCCACGUGUAGCGGUGAA